GCUUUCUUAGUAUUAACUAGUACAACUGACUUCCAAUCAGUUAGUUUCAGUAUAAUCUGGAAGAGAGCA
rnacentral:tRNA from 1 species